UACAGAGGUCUCAAGCGUUGUUCGGAUUCAUUGGGCGUAAAGGGUGCGUAGGCGGCGCGGUAAGUCGGGUGUGAAAUCUCGGAGCUUAACUCAGAAACUGCCAUGGAUACUAUUUGUCUUGAAUAUUGUGGAGGUGAGCGGAAUAUGUCAUGUAGCGGUGAAGUGCUUAGAUAUGACAUAGAACACCAAUUGCGAAGGCAGCUCACUACACAGUUAUUGACGCUGAGGCACGAAAGCGUGGGGAUCAAACAGG
rnacentral:rRNA from 1 species